GCCUCUGAGGAUGAUGUAAAGUAUAACUUUCGUUCUACCGAUGUUUCUAUGGGGAAACUGUAUGGAGACCUGAACUGAAGAGGC
rfam:Vigna angularis cultivar Jingnong 6 scaffold1091_1, whole genome shotgun sequence.